AAAUUGAAGAGUUUGAUCAUGGCUCAGAUUGAACGCUGGCGGCAGGCCUAACACAUGCAAGUCGAACGGUAACAGGAAGCAGCUUGCUGCUUCGCUGACGAGUGGCGGACGGGUGAGUAAUGUCUGGGAAACUGCCUGAUGGAGGGGGAUAACUACUGGAAACGGUAGCUAAUACCGCAUAACGUCGCAAGACCAAAGAGGGGGACCUUCGGGCCUCUUGCCAUCGGAUGUGCCCAGAUGGGAUUAGCUUGUUGGUGGGGUAACGGCUCACCA
rnacentral:rRNA from 1 species